UUCGACACACUAUCAUUACGUGAAUACAUAGCGUAAUGAAGCGAACCGGGGGAACUGAAACAUCUAAGUACCCCGAGGAAAAGAAAUCAACCGAGAUUCCCCCAGUAGCGGCGAGCGAACGGGGAGCAGCCCAGAGUCUGAAUCAGCUUGUGUGUUAGUGGAACGGUCUGGAAAGUCCGACGGUACAGGGUGAUAGUCCCGUACACCAAAAUGCACAGGUUGUGAACUCGAAGAGUAGGGCGGGACACGUGGUAUCCUGUCUGAAUAUGGGGGGACCAUCCUCCAAGGCUAAAUACUCCUGACUGACCGAUAGUGAACCAGUACCGUGAGGGAAAGGCGAAAAGAACCCCGGCGAGGGGAGUGAAAAAGAACCUGAAACCGUGUACGUACAAGCAGUGGGAGCCUCUUUAUGGGGUGACUGC
rnacentral:rRNA from 1 species